ACAAAUUUCAAGUUAUUUUAAUGUUUUUCUUCAGAUCUCGUGUUAUUUUUAUUUGAUACAUGUCAUUUAAUAAAUUAUCAGCAUCUGUUUAUCUUCUUUCUUUAUCUCCGCCGCCAAAGUUCUUGUCUCUUAUCGGAUCUUCUCCACCAUCACUUCUUCUGCUACCAUUUUCUUCACGGUGGCCACUACUAUUGUAUUGACCUCAACCACCACCGCAUCUACUAGAUCUAUAAUCUCAUGCGUUCAUGAAUCUCGACAACACCACCUUCACCCAAAUUUGUAAUUUUUGCUAUUUAUUUAUUUUUGAUCCUUCACUGCGACUUCCUCCUUCUUGUUCACCAUCAUCGCCGUUGUCAGAUUUUACACUGGAAUUAUGAUACUAAUUAUCGUUGCAAGUCUCGUCUUCUCUAAAUAAUUGAAUUGUGUUGUAAUUAUCUUAAUUUAAAGGGAUAAUUUGGUAUUUGUGCUACCCAUACCCCACAUUAAAAAGAGUUAGUUUCCAAAAAAAUCUGACACAUGGUUAGUUUCUUAAUUUUUGUGUAGAAUUUGGCUAUUUGCUAAUAUUACCCUUUAAU
rnacentral:lncRNA from 1 species